UCUAAUAUGACCAGUGUCCUUGGAGGGAGGCUCUUCAGAGAUGCAGGCACACACUGAGGCAGAGGGAGAAGGGUCUUUGAAUCGAAGUGAUGCAUUCGUGAGCCAAAGCUGAGGGUUGCUGGGGACCACCAGAAGCUGCACAAGAGGCACGGAAUGGACUCUUCUCGGAGCCUCCAGAAGGAACCAGCCCUGGUUUAGCAUCCAGCACCUAAAAAACGGGAGAAGCGAUAAAGUUACUCCAUCCAUCAGUCAUCCACUCCGAACCAGUCGCAAUGACGGACUGUUCUUCAGAGCUGGCACCGAGUCACGAGGCCUUUCGGUGAGCAGCCCGCCGGCAUGAGCCAAACGCAGGAAAUCCAGAAGGUACGUCUGAAACGCACGCAGAAGCAAAAUCCUCCCAAGUCAUAAGAAAGAUCUGGAGACGGGUAGUUGCUUUCCUCAGCAGCAAAGCAUCCACUGUUGCCCUUUAAAAAACAAUAAAGAAUGGUUCCGGCAACCUCA